GCCCAUCUCAGCAGCAUAGACAUUGGGCCAACGUUGGAAUGAUAGGGAUAUUAGCACGGCCCCUGGGCAAGGAUGGCAUGUAAAUAUGUGCAAUAUUUUACAUUUUU